rnacentral:rRNA from 1 species
GACGAACGCUGGCGGCGUGCCUAAUACAUGCAAGUAGAACGCUGAAGGAGGAGCUUGCUUCUCUGGAUGAGUUGCGAACGGGUGAGUAACGCGUAGGUAACCUGCCUGGUAGCGGGGGAUAACUAUUGGAAACGAUAGCUAAUACCGCAUAAGAGUAGAUGUCGCAUGACAUUUGCUUAAAAGGUGCAAUUGCAUCACUACCAGAUGGACCUGCGUUGUAUUAGCUAGUUGGUGAGGUAACGGCUCACCAAGGCAACGAUACAUAGCCGACCUGAGAGGGUGAUCGGCCACACUGGGACUGAGACACGGCCCAGACUCCUACGGGAGGCAGCAGUAGGGAAUCUUCGGCAAUGGACGGAAGUCUGACCGAGCAACGCCGCGUGAGUGAAGAAGGUUUUCGGAUCGUAAAGCUCUGUUGUAAGAGAAGAACGAGUGUGAGAGUGGAAAGUUCACGCUGUGACGGUAUCUUACCAGAAAGGGACGGCUAACUACGUG